GGACAGUCAUCGCCGAGUCCCCGUACGGCGCGAGCCAGGGGAGCCGGGGACCCAACCAUGUCCCUGGGGUGAAUCGGGCGCCCGCGCCGUGCGCGAGGGGGUCCGUAGGAGACCUUCCUGCUCCGAACCCGUCAGCUAACCCGGUAGGCGAGAGGGAAGGAAAGG
rnacentral:sRNA from 1 species